rfam:Pseudomonas oryzihabitans strain TSDA-ARS-TSMARC-56511, complete genome.
AGAGCCGACCGGGCAGUCGCUGUCGUGACCCGCAAGGGUUGCGAGGGAGGAAAGUCCGGGCUCCAUAGGGCGAGGUGCCAGGUAACGCCUGGGAGGCGUGAGCCUACGGAAAGUGCCACAGAAAAUAACCGCCUAAGCGCGCAAGCGCCGGUAAGGGUGAAAAGGUGCGGUAAGAGCGCACCGCACGGCUGGCAACAGUUCGUGGCUAGGUAAACCCCACCUGGAGCAAGACCAAAUAGGAAUCCAUAGGCGUGGCCCGCGCUGGAUUCGGGUAGGUCGCUAGAGGCAAUCAGCGAUGGUUGUCCCAGAGGAAUGACUGUCCUCGACAGAACCCGGCUUACAGGUCGGCUCUCGCA